rnacentral:rRNA from 1 species
CCUACGGGUGGCAGCAGUGGGGGAUAUUGCACAAUGGCGGAAACUCUGAUGCAGCGACGCCGCGUGAGGGCAGACGGUCUUCGGAUUGUAAACCUCUGUCUUUGGGGAAGAAAAUGACGGUACCCAAAGAGGAAGCUCCGGCUAACUACGUCCCAGCAGCCGCGGUAAUACGUAGGGAGCGGGCGUUGUCCGGCAUUACUGGGUGAAAAGGGAGCGUAGGCGGGCGAGAAAGUUGAAUGUUAAAUCAACCGGCUUAACUGGGAGCUGCGUUCAAAACUUCUUGUCUUGAGUGAAGUAGAGGCAGGCGGAAUUCCUAGUGUAGCGGUGAAAUGCGUAGAUAUUAGGAGGAACACCAGUGGCGAAGGCGGCUUGCUGGCUCAUAACUGACGCUGAGGCGCGAAAGCGUGGGGAGCAAACAGGAUUAGAUACCCGGGUAGUC